rnacentral:rRNA from 1 species
GACGAACGCUGGCGGCGUGCUUAACACAUGCAAGUCGAACGGUAAGGCCCUUCGGGGUACACGAGUGGCGAACGGGUGAGUAACACGUGGGUGAUCUGCCCUGCACUUCGGGAUAAGCCUGGGAAACUGGGUCUAAUACCGGAUAGGACCCUGGGAUGCAUGUCCUGGGGUGGAAAGCUUUUGCGGUGUGGGAUGGGCCCGCGGCCUAUCGGCUUGUUGGUGGGGUGAUGGCCUACCAAGGCGACGACGGGUAGCCGGCCGGAGAGGGUGACCGGCCACACUGGGACUGAGAUACGGCCCAGACUCCUACGGGAGGCAGCAGUGGGGAAUAUUGCACUAUGGGCGCAAGCCUGAUGCAGCGACGCCGCGUGAGGGAUGACGGCCUUCGGGUUGUAAACCUCUUUCAGCACCGACGAAGCGCAAGUGACGGUAGGUGCAGAAGAAGGACCGGCCAACUACGUGCCAGCCGCCGCGGUAA